GUGCAAAGGAGGUACAUGCGCCGCUGGGCGUGCCCAGUCACCCAGCGGAGCGAUUUGCCCCCGAGAGGA
rnacentral:snoRNA from 1 species